GAUGAACGCUCGCGGCGUGCCUAAGGUAUGCAAGUCGAAUGCCGCCUCGGCGGCAUGGCGAACGGGUGAGUAACGCGUAGGAAUCUGCCCCUGUCACGGGGAUAACCCGCCGAAAGGUGGGAUAAUACCCGAUAUGCCCCGCACCGUAUGGUGCAGGGUGAAAGCUCCGGCGGACAGGGAGGAGCCUGCGUCCUAUCAGCUUGUUGGUAGGGUAACGGCCUACCAAGGCGAUGACGGGUAGGGGGCGUGAGAGCGUGACCCCCCCACAAUGGCACUGAGACAAGGGCCAUACACCUACGGGUGGCAGCAAUUAGGAAUCUUGCGCAAUGGGCGAAAGCCUGACGCAGCGACGCCGUGUGGAGGAUGAAGGUCGUGAGAUUGUAAACUCCUUAAUUCCCCGCAAGGGGNGAGGAUAAAGUCCCGGCUAACUACGUGCCAGCAGCAGCGGUAAAACGUANGGGGCGAGCGUUAUCCGGAUUUAUUGGGCGUAAAGAGUGCGUAGGCGGUUAAGCAAGUUCUCCGUCAAAGCCCGGGGCUCAACCCCGGAACUGCGGAGAAUACUGCUUGGCUAGAGGGAGGUAGGGGCUGUCGGAACUUGGGGAGGAGGGGUGAAAUCCUAUGAUCCCCCAAGGAACACCGAAGGCGAAGGCAGACAGCUGGGCCUUUCCUGACGCUGAGGCACGAAAGCUAGGGGAGCAAAACGGAUUAGAUACCCGUGUAGUCCUAGCCGUAAACGAUCCUCGCUAGAUUUUGGCAUCUGUCAGAGUCGGAGCUAACGCAUUAAGCGGGGCGCCUGGGGAGUACGGCCGCAAGGCUAAAACUCAAAGGAAUUGACGGGGACCCGCACAAGCGGUGGAGCGUGUGGUUUAAUUCGAUGAUAACCGAAGGACCUUACCAGGGCUUGACAUGUAGGUGGUAGUGAACCGAAAGGGGAACGACCCGCAAGGGAGCCUGCACAGGUGUUGCAUGGCUGUCGUCAGCUCGUGCCGUGAGGUGUAUGCUUAAGUGCCGAAACGAGCGCAACCCCCACUCUAUGUUAGAAAUGUCAUAGGGAACUGCCUCCGUAAGGGGGAGGAAGGUGGGGACGACGUCAAGUCAGUAUGGCCCUUAUGCCCUGGGCCACACACACGCUACAAUGGCGGCUAUAACAGGUUGCAAAGUCGUAAGGCGGAGCUAAUCCCUAAAAGCCGUCCCAGUUCGAAUUGCGGGCUGCAACUCGCCCGCAUGAAGUUGGAAUCGCUAGUAAUGGCCGGUCAGCUAUACGGCCGUGAAUACGUUCUCGGGUCUUGUACACACCGCCCGUCAGUUGAGGAAAGUUGGAGCCAUCCGAAGCCUGAUGUAAGUCGGACCAAGAUGGAAUCAGCGAUCAGCAAU
rnacentral:rRNA from 1 species